rnacentral:rRNA from 1 species
UACGGAGGGAGCUAGCGUUGUUCGGAAUUACUGGGCGUAAAGCGCGCGUAGGCGGCUUUGUAAGUUAGAGGUGAAAGCCCGGAGCUCAACUCCGGAACUGCCUUUAAAACUGCAUCGCUUGAAUCCAGGAGAGGUGAGUGGAAUUCCGAGUGUAGAGGUGAAAUUCGUAGAUAUUCGGAAGAACACCAGUGGCGAAGGCGGCUCACUGGACUGGUAUUGACGCUGAGGUGCGAAAGCGUGGGGGAGCAAACAGGG